GCGGGUAUAAGUCAAUGGCAGACAGUCAGAUUCCCCAAUCUGAAAGUGCGGGUUCGAGUCCCGUUAUCCGCU
rnacentral:tRNA from 1 species